CGUGCGCGCGAGUCAAUGGGCGCAUUAUAUAAACCCAAAGGCGAAGCGAAAGCGAAGGUCGGCCGUGACGCGCUUCGGCGCGUCCGCCGUCCGUCGGGAGGAUGGGCGUCGGUCCGCGCGCGGCUCUCGUUCGAGCGCGACCGUUCGCCCCGCACUCCCGGGGCGUCUCGCCAGGGUAUCGGGCGGUGUCGUCGGUUCGGUCUCGCGACCGGAUCGCGCCCCUCGGUACCCGAGACGCACCUCUAGCGCGCACGCUGGGACCCGAAAGAUGGUGAACUAUGCCUGGUCAGGACGAAGUCAGGGGAAACCCUGAUGGAGGUCCGCAGCGAUUCUGACGUGCAAAUCGAUCGUCAGAACUGGGUAUAGGGGCGAAAGACCAAUCGAACCGUCUAGUAGCUGGUUCCCUCCGAAGUUUCCCUCAGGAUAGCUGGCGCUCGUUAUUUAACAAAUAAAGAGUCUCAUGCGGUAAAGCGAAUGAUUAGAGCGAAUCGGGGUCGAAACGACCUCUACCUAUUCUCAAACUUUAAAUGUGUGAGAUCUCCGGCUUGCCCGAUUGACGAAGCCGCGAGAUCGGAUCUAGAGUGCCAAGUGGGCCAAUUUUGGUAAGCAGAACUGGCGCUGUGGGAUGAACCAAACGUAAAGUUAAAGCGCCGAAAUCGACGCUCAUGGGAAACCAUGAAAGGCGUUGGUAACUCAGGACAGCAGGACGGU
rnacentral:rRNA from 1 species